AGAGUUUGAUCCUGGCUCAGAUUGAACGCUGGCGGCAUGCCUUACACAUGCAAGUCGAACGGUAACAGGUUAAGCUGACGAGUGGCGAACGGGUGAGUAAUGUAUCGGAACGUGCCCAGUCGUGGGGGAUAACUACUCGAAAGAGUGGCUAAUACCGCAUGAGACCUGAGGGUGAAAGCGGGGGAUCGCAAGACCUCGCGCGAUUGGAGCGGCCGAUAUCAGAUUAGCUAGUUGGCGGGGUAGAAGCCCACCAAGGCGACGAUCUGUAGCUGGUCUGAGAGGGCGACCAGCCACACUGGGACUGAGACACGGCCCAGACUCCUACGGGAGGCAGCAGUGGGGAAUUUUGGACAAUGGACGAAAGUCUGAUCCAGCCAUGCCGCGUGCGGGAAGAAGGCCUUCGGGUUGUAAACCGCUUUUGUCAGGGAAGAAACGACGUCCUCUAAUACAGGGUGUUAAUGACGGUACCUGAAGAAUAAGCACCGGCUAACUACGUGCCAGCAGCCGCGGUAAUACAGAGGUCUCAACCGUUGUUCGGAUUCAUUGGGCGUAAAGGGUGCGUAGGCGGUCGCGCAAGUCGGAUGUGAAAUCUUAGGGCUCAACCCUGAAACUGCAUUCGAUACUGCGUGGCUUGAGUACUGGAGAGGAGACUGGAAUUUACGGUGUAGCAGUGAAAUGCGUAGAUAUCGUAAGGAAGACCAGUGGCGAAGGCGAGUCUCUGGACAGUUACUGACGCUGAGGCACGAAGGCCAGGGGAGCAAACGGGAUUAGAUACCCCGGUAGUCCUGGCAGUAAACGGUGUACGUUUGGUGUAGGCGGAUUCGACCCCGCCUGUGCCGGAGCUAACGCGUUAAACGUACCGCCUGGGAAGUACGGUCGCAAGAUUAAAACUCAAAGAAAUUGACGGGGGCCCGCACAAGCGGUGGAGUAUGUGGCUUAAUUCGAUCCACGCGAAGAACCUUACCAGGGUUUGACAUGUAUCUCUAAGUCGGUGAAAGCCGGCGAGUUGUAGCAAUACAACGAUUUACACAGGUGCUGCAUGGCUGUCGUCAGCUCGUGUCGUGAGAUGUUGGGUUAAGUCCCGCAACGAGCGCAACCCUUACGUCCUGUUGCCACUCCUUAAUUGGAAGCACUCUGGACGGACUGCCCUGUGAAACGGGGAGGAAGGUGAGGAUGACGUCAAGUCAGCAUGGCCCUUACACCCUGGGCUGCACACGUACUACAAUGCUCAGUACAAUAUGAGCCGAAACCGCGAGGUGGAGGAAAUCGAUAAAACUGAGCCCAAUUCGGAUCGCAGGCUGCAACUCGCCUGCGUGAAGCCGGAAUCGCUAGUAAUGCCGUAUCAGCUACGACGGCGUGAAUACGUUCCCGGGCCUUGUACACACCGCCCGUCACAUCAUGGGAGUCGUUUGCACCCGAAGUACACCAAUGGUGUCCUACGGUAUGAGCGGUAACUGGGAUGAAGUCGAAACAAGGUA
rnacentral:rRNA from 1 species